UUGCUCACCUUCUGUUUUUCUUAGCCUCAAUCACUUCUUCUUUGAUGUCAGUCCUUACGGAACCUGGGCACUGCAGGUACUUUUCAGGAUGAAGUGUGGAGUGGGGAUGUGGGCAGAUGAAGCCCAUUGAUGGUGAUGAGAAGAAGGAAGGGAAGGACUUCCUGGUGGUCCAGUUGGCUAAGACCUCUACACUGCCAAUGCAAGGGGCAGGGGUUCGAUCCCUGGUUGGGGAGAACCAAGAUCCCGCAUGCCACGUGGUGUGGCCAAAAAAAAAAAAAAGUGGGGAGUGGAGUGGGGCAAAGGACUCAGGAAGUCUCUUUAGACCCAAACUAGGAUCAAUCUGGGUGAAGCUUUAGCAUCGCUGAGUAGGGUGGCCAGCCUGAUCCCCCUCCUACCACUAGGGAAUGGAUUUGAAGCUAGAGAUUUGCCCCUUGGUGUUCCCGGUAACUCCGGUAAAGCCAGGCUACAUUUAAUGAGAAAUUACUGCAGUGUCCGGCACCAUCUGCGGGGCUUUAGAUGGAUUGUUUUGGCAUUUUUUUUUUUAACAUCUUCACGACCCUAUGUAUCCAUUUUACAACUGAGGCCCAGAAAAGCUACUAACCUUGUCAAGGUGACACAUAAAAAAAAUAUUCCGAUGCCGGACCCACCAAUGCUUACCUCGCCCCAGGGGAAUAUUGGAAACUCACUGAAGCAAAAGGCUAGGAGGUCCCUCCCUGGUUAUCCUGUAUUUUUGAUUAAGGCUAGAGAAAGUCUCAUUUAGAUCCUCCAACGCGCUUUAGAGUUUCAAUAAAAGGCCACCUGAAGCAGAAACAGGAAAAGGAGGGCAGGAGGGGGGCCCGACCGCUCCCCAGUCCUAGGACAAAGCACCUUCUCCCCCCGGGCAGGGGCGACAUGCCCUACCCCGCCGUCUGGACCAAGCGGGAUGUGCAUUCCCUAUCCCAGUGUGUUCCCAGCAAUUCGCUACCUGUCAUCAAUACUCUGCUUUUUUUUUUUUUUUUUUUGCUGCCACCAACACACGAUAAUCUGAUCUGUAAGGGAAAAAAGGGAGUGGAGGAUCUGUAGAAACAAACAUCAUCAAAUGUCCUGGCUCUGUUCCCGGCGCUUCAAUAAAAAUGCAGGAAGGAAGAAAUUGCAGAGAUGAGCCCCGGCGGCCAGGCUCCCUGAGUCUCCAUUAAGUCAUUAAGAGAGGACUUUGCAGCAUCAGAGCCAAUCGCCAAGAUGCUGCCUCGGAGGGCAGCCCUCGCAUUGGAGGGUCCAGCUCGGUGACACAGAGGGAUGAGCCAUCUGACUUAGGUUUACUGCACUGAAGGCCUGGGCUUGGAAUCGUACUACCCACGGCAUCUCUCAUUUGGGCAACUAGUGACCCGAAUCAUACAUACUCUUGGGAAGGUGGGAUGUGGGGCCAGGGGACCUGCUUCUGGGAUCUUCUACAGAGAUGACAAAACACCAGAGCUGAACAAGAAUUCGUGGGGAUCAUUCCUACGGGCAACCAAGCCAAACAAGCCAUCUCUCUAAUCAAAAUACCACCUCUUGUUCUUCUGAAAACUUCUUCUGAAAAGCAGGAAAUGGAAUUAUAAGCGGGUAGGGGUAUGGAAAAAGAUUAAAAUGAAAAAUAAACUUGAAACAUACCUAGCA